rnacentral:rRNA from 1 species
CCUACGGGGGGCAGCAGUGGGGAAUAUUGCACAAUGGGCGCAAGCCUGAUGCAGCGACGCCGCGUGAGGGAUGACGGCCUUCGGGUUGUAAACCUCUUUCAGCACGGAAGAAGCGAAAGUGACGGUACGUGCAGAAGAAGCGCCGGCUAACUACGUGCCAGCAGCCGCGGUAAUACGUAGGGCGCAAGCGUUGUCCGGAAUUAUUGGGCGUAAAGAGCUCGUAGGCGGUUUGUCGCGUCUGCUGUGAAAGCCCGGGGCUUAACCCCGGGUGUGCAGUGGGUACGGGCAGACUUGAGUGCAGUAGGGGAGACUGGAACUCCUGGUGUAGCGGUGAAAUGCGCAGAUAUCAGGAAGAACACCGAUGGCGAAGGCAGGUCUCUGGGCUGUUACUGACGCUGAGGAGCGAAAGCAUGGGGAGCGAACAGGAUUAGA